AUUGAACGCUGGCGGCAGGCUUAACACAUGCAAGUCGAGCGGAGAGAGGUAGCUUGCUACUGAUCUUAGCGGCGGACGGGUGAGUAAUGCUUAGGAAUCUGCCUAUUAGUGGGGGACAACAUUUCGAAAGGAAUGCUAAUACCGCAUACGUCCUACGGGAGAAAGCAGGGGAUCUUCGGACCUUGCGCUAAUAGAUGAGCCUAAGUCGGAUUAGCUAGUUGGUGGGGUAAAGGCCUACCAAGGCGACGAUCUGUAGCGGGUCUGAGAGGAUGAUCCGCCACACUGGGACUGAGACACGGCCCAGACUCCUACGGGAGGCAGCAGUGGGGAAUAUUGGACAAUGGGCGCAAGCCUGAUCCAGCCAUGCCGCGUGUGUGAAGAAGGCCUUAUGGUUGCAAAGCACUUUAAGCGAGGAGGAGGCUACUUUAGUUAAUACCUAGAGAUAGUGGACGUUACUCGCAGAAUAAGCACCGGCUAACUCUGUGCCAGCAGCCGCGGUAAUACAGAGGGUGCAAGCGUUAAUCGGAUUUACUGGGCGUAAAGCGCGCGUAGGCGGCUAAUUAAGUCAAAUGUGAAAUCCCCGAGCUUAACUUGGGAAUUGCAUUCGAUACUGGUUAGCUAGAGUGUGGGAGAGGAUGGUAGAAUUCCAGGUGUAGCGGUGAAAUGCGUAGAGAUCUGGAGGAAUACCGAUGGCGAAGGCAGCCAUCUGGCCUAACACUGACGCUGAGGUGCGAAAGCAUGGGGAGCAAACAGGAUUAGAUACCCUGGUAGUCCAUGCCGUAAACGAUGUCUACUAGCCGUUGGGGCCUUUGAGGCUUUAGUGGCGCAGCUAACGCGAUAAGUAGACCGCCUGGGGAGUACGGUCGCAAGACUAAAACUCAAAUGAAUUGACGGGGGCCCGCACAAGCGGUGGAGCAUGUGGUUUAAUUCGAUGCAACGCGAAGGACCUUACCUGGCCUUGACAUAGUAAGAACUUUCCAGAGAUGGAUUGGUGCCUUCGGGAACUUACAUACAAGUGCUGCAUGGCUGUCGUCAGCUCGUGUCGUGAGAUGUUGGGUUAAGUCCCGCAACGAGCGCAACCCUUUUCCUUAUUUGCCAGCGAGUAAUGUCGGGAACUUUAAGGAUACUGCCAGUGACAAACUGGAGGAAGGCGGGGACGACGUCAAGUCAUCAUGGCCCUUACGGCCAGGGCUACACACGUGCUACAAUGGUCGGUACAAAGGGUUGCUACCUAGCGAUAGGAUGCUAAUCUCAAAAAGCCGAUCGUAGUCCGGAUUGGAGUCUGCAACUCGACUCCAUGAAGUCGGAAUCGCUAGUAAUCGCGGAUCAGAAUGCCGCGGUGAAUACGUUCCCGGGCCU
rnacentral:rRNA from 1 species